GUCCCGGAUGGCGCAGUGGUUACCGCACCUGCCCAGUGAGCAGGAGAUCCUGGGUUCAAAUCCCGGUCGGGUACA